ensembl:lncRNA
GGGAAAUUAGUUCUUUAUUAGUUGCAAGUCAUUGACACAAUCAUUGAUUCCUUCCCCACCCCCAUCAUCCCUUCUUCCUUCUUGAUUCUUGAAGCUUCUGGCUCCAUUGGGCCUCAGAUCCAGGAGAAUUACAUUUCCGAGUUUCUGGCAAGUGUCUCCAAAUUUCAGAUAAGUUCCACCCUCCCAGCAUGCCCUUAUUCCUCUCCCCCCACAAUGCUGUUUAAGGGAUCACAAGGUACUGCCAGAGAUAAAAAGAAAGAGGGGAAAAAAGAGUCCGAAAUUUACGGGCUCUCUUCUGCCCACCAAGGAGUUAUUAUUCAGUUGACAGCAAAAGCAGGGGCUGAGUUUCUUAUUCAACCCUUAGUAGAUGUUGCCAUUGGAGCACCAGGUUGGAGCACAGAAUGGUCUAGGGACAGUGGUAGUCAUUGGGGAAGCUGUUUACCUGAUCCUUGGUGCCACUAGGGCUAAGAGUCCAGAAGACGGAUGGUGAGGGUGACUGACGGCGUGUCUCCGAAGCCCACAGUACACUCAUCCAUAAAGUAGGAAACACUACACCCUACAUUGCUGUUAGUAGUGCUUUCUACUUUAUGGGUGACUGCACUGUCUGUCUGUCUGUGUUUGUCCAGAUGAUGGGUCUGCCCACUUCCUCCUUCUGCCACCUGCUUUGAGAGAGAUCCCACCACCACUACCCCAACCCUUACCUUUGUCCCUCUUCCAAUCAGACCUUCCUAUUUCCAGUCCCCCUUCCCUAGCUCCAUACUUCUGGGACUCCCCCUGAAGUAAAGCCGGGACAGUGAGGGGACCCGCCCUGAACCUCAUGGGCAGUGACUCAGCAUGGCGCUCAUCCUCCCCUCCUCUCAACCUCACCCGCCACUUCCUCUUUGGGCACAUCUCCUGUCCUCCAAAGCAACCCCCACCCCUAACAGCCUCAGCCAUUUUCUGGCAGAAACAGGUGUGGACAGUGACAAUAUACCCCAAUUUCAACAAAUUUCCACCCCAUUUCUGUUGUUCUUAUUGACUUGUCCCCUUCCCCAAGAUCAUUUCCCUUACACCUAUCCUCCUUUAACCAGUUUGAAGGAUACUUCUCUUCAAGGCCUCCUCCUCAACCAGACCUUCCUGUCUGGCUCUAUAGUUCAAAUCCCAAUCCAAAGGAAGCCCAUUGUCCCUUAUCCCCUGUGGCUCUCCCAUAGGCCCUCCCACUAGUGGUGAACCCUGGAUGUCAGGGUGGUAGCCAUCUUGGGUGGAGGUGGUAAUAGAGGGGUCUGUCCCACGAGGGACCAGUGCCCUUCUGCUGUUUCCAAUUCCCACCUCAAAGCCUCUUUCUGGCACCACGUCCUGGGCCUCACUGGGUCUCUUCGAUAAAAGGUCUCUGUCACCUCUUUCUGCUGAAAAGGGCUGAGAGGAAUUUUCCCAUCCUUGUCCGAGGCAGUAAAGAAGCAAAAGCUCUGGACACAAGGAAUAACUCCUCUAAUCUUUUCUUCCUCCCCCCAAAAUAGUCUGAUUUCAAAACUGUAGGUCUUAGUGUGAAAUCUUUUUUCUCAGGCCCCCUUUCUCCCGAGCCUCCCCUCAGACAACUAAAGACUGCCCACCUUUCCUCAGUUCCUCUUCUUGCCAGCCUGACUUGCACCCUCCCUCUGCCCUAACUUCUAGCACCUCCAGGUGCUAUACUCUACCAUCCCUCCCCCCUUGCUCCUCCUUCCCCAGAUCUUUCCUUCUCUCCUCAAGGCCUGUCCCUGUCAUCUCUUCCCAAUGUUUAAGAGAUGGGGAGAAGGAAGAGAAGGAGGUACAUGACACUUACCGGGUAGUACUACCAUGAUGGAGUGGGUGAGGAGUCCGCUGGUGUGCUCCAGGCGCUGAAAUGGGGUCCUCUACUAAGCGGGCCCGGCUUAUAA